rnacentral:rRNA from 1 species
UGGGGAAUAUUGCACAAUGGGCGCAAGCCUGAUGCAGCCAUGCCGCGUGUAUGAAGAAGGCCUUCGGGUUGUAAAGUACUUUCAGCGGGGAGGAAGGUGUUGAGGCUAAUAACCUCAGCAAUUGACGUUACCCGCAGAAGAAGCACCGGCUAACUCCGUGCCAGCAGCCGCGGUAAUACGGAGGGUGCAAGCGUUAAUCGGAAUUACUGGGCGUAAAGCGCACGCAGGCGGUCUGUCAAGUCGGAUGUGAAAUCCCCGGGCUCAACCUGGGAACUGCAUUCGAAAAUGGCAGGCUAGAGUCUUGUAGAGGGGGGUAGAAUUCCAGGUGUAGCGGUGAAAUGCGUAGAGAUCUGGAGGAAUACCGGUGGCGAAGGCGGCCCCCUGGACAAAGACUGACGCUCAGGUGCGAAAGCGUGGGGAGCAAACA